GCCACCCCCUCUUCUUCUCCCUCUCCCGUCGCUUCUUCUCCCUCUCCCUUUUCCGACCAGCCAUCUUCCUCGCCUCCCUCUCUCCAGCCGCCUCUUUCUCUCCCCCUUCUUCCCAAUCUCCCCCUCCAAGUGGUGGCAGUCGCCCCACUCUCCUCUUCCCCCACCUUCGUUUCCCCCCUCCUCUCUUUUCUUCCCAUCUCUCCCUUCCCGCAUCAGGCAGCAGAGAAGCAGCACCAACAGCCAGCCGGAGAGCAGCAGCUCCGGCGACUCCCCCCUCUCCCUCUCGUCUUCCUCUUCU
rnacentral:misc_RNA from 1 species